GACGAACGCUGGCGGCGUGCCUAAUACAUGCAAGUAGAACGCUGAAGAGAGGAGCUUGCUCUUCUUGGAUGAGUUGCGAACGGGUGAGUAACGCGUAGGUAACCUGCCUUGUAGCGGGGGAUAACUAUUGGAAACGACAGCUAAUACCGCAUAACAAUGGAUGACACAUGUCAUUUAUUUGAAAGGGGCAAUUGCUCCACUACAAGAUGGACCUGCGUUGUAUUAGCUAGUAGGUGAGGUAAUGGCUCACCUAGGCGACGAUACAUAGCCGACCUGAGAGGGUGAUCGGCCACACUGGGACUGAGACACGGCCCAGACUCCUACGGGAGGCAGCAGUAGGGAAUCUUCGGCAAUGGGGGCAACCCUGACCGAGCAACGCCGCGUGAGUGAAGAAGGUUUUCGGAUCGUAAAGCUCGGUUGUAAGUCAAGAACGGGUGUGAGAGUGGAAAGUUCACACUGUGACGGUAGCUUACCAGAAAGGGACGGCUAACUACGUG
rnacentral:rRNA from 1 species